UACAGAGGUCUCAAGCGUUUGUUCGGAUUCAUUGGGCGUAAAGGGUGCGUAGGCGGCGCGGUAAGUCGGGUGUGAAAUCUCGGAGCUUAACUCCGAAACUGCAUUCGAUACUGCCGUGCUUGAGGACUGGAGAGGAGACUGGAAUUUACGGUGUAGCGGUGAAAUGCGUAGAUAUCGUAAGGAAGACCAGUGGCGAAGGCGGGUCUCUGGGACAGUUCCUGACGCUGAGGCACGAAGGUCAGGGGAGCAAACGGGG
rnacentral:rRNA from 1 species